AUUAAAAAAAAACAUGGAAUUAUUUAAUACAGAAAUGUGGGCUUAAUAAAAGUAUGUUUAAUACUUGCUUAAAGGUUGUUACUUCCAAAAAGGAAGUAACAACAAAAAGGUUGUUAUUUUAUGCUCGUUUGGACAAAUGAGCUUAAUCUGAACUCAUAUUUGAAUUUAUUAAAAAUAAAUUUAUUAAAAAAUAAAAAUAGAUAGACAGACAGACAGACACCAUCUGAAGAAAUGCACCAAAAACAACGAAUCAGAAUCAGGAGGAGGGUCUUACUGCUGUCAAUCAACCUCAUGUACUCGUAGCGUAACAUGCUAAUGUCAGAGAAACAACUCAUCAUUACAGGAAAACCAUUUAUCCAUUGUCAUUGGUGGCCAUGCUAAUUAGCUUUAGCAUUCACAACAGACUGUGCUAGCUGUAUCAUAGCAAAGAGUAAGGGGAUGGAGAUUGAUUGACAGCAGUAAGACCCGCCUCCUGGCUGUGAUUGGUUGUUUCUAGUUAGCACUGGAAUAAGGCAGAGGAGCUCUUUUUUUUUCAGAUUAUCUGUCUCACACCAAACUGUCAUGAAAUAGUGACAGUUUCAACAAAUAUAUAAAAAAUAUUUUUUUUUGAAAAAUGUUACGUGCUGCAGCUUUAAGAUAAGAUCUGUGGAAAUAGAUGGAUUUUGCUGCGAAUAAUUCGGAGCCACAUUCUGCAGGAAAUCUGUGAAUACUGAAUGGCGAACAGGCGGGGGGCCCACUGUAUAUAAAGAUCCACAGAGAAGAUGGAGAAAACAGCAGGCUAUGGAAAAUUUAUGUCUUCCAUCCGUCUAUGAGCCUCCAGCCGGAGUCAGAUCUGGAUAACCUAACACCGACUGAAAGCUUUAUCGAAAAGGAAAGAAUGUGUAAAAGUCUCAGCAACUGAAACGUCCCCACAUGUCUUGUGGGGUUUCGUCAGCUGAUUUCUCUUUGUCCUUUGGGUAAAUUACCCAGUAAUAAGUUAGCAGGUACGUUCGAAGAGACAAAUAGGAAUGGAAGGAAGUUUGUUUUUUUCACACAUUUGCGGAAAUCCUUGUUCAAACAUUGUCAGGGAAUUCAUAGAAAGAAAUGCGGCCCAGAUGUAAGAAAAACACUGCUGUUGUUCGACUGUUUGCGUGUGUGUACGUGUGUGUGUGUGUGUGCAACGCAUUCUCCAAGUGGGACUUUGAGCUGAGUGCAGAGUACAACAGAGACCCCCCUUUGUACGCCUGUAAUAUUUAGUCUCAGUUCAAUAGCCUCAUGCCAGCCAGUAUGUACAAAAACAAGUGCAUUCGAGGCACAUUUAGGCAUGUUCUUCACGCUUCUCAGGCUUUUGUUGAGCCAGAACAAAGUUUCAUCUUGUCACAAUAAAAAGAGUGGAAUUGUACAAAAUGCUAGAAUGUGGCGUUCUAAUAUCCCACAUCAUUACAUGGCUGUUGCACUAUUUUAUUAGGCCUGGCAAUAAAGUGUGACUUUGAUUGUUUAUUUAAUAUGUUACUUUAUGAGAGCAGGUUGUUCUGGCCUGGCUAGAAGCGUGUUCUCCGCUCAGGCUUGCCUGGUGCUGAGCCAACGGCCUGCAAGCCACAGAUACGAAAGGAUGUGGAGACGUCGCACCCGCAGAAACGUGGGCCACCAAAGAUAACCACAAGGGGAAAAACAUCAGCGAUGCAAAACAAUUCUCUAUACUGCUUUGUUGCCAUAGCCACCUGAACUGCUGCAAUUUAGACCCAUGGAGCUCCACUGCACGCUAUCUUUUCUGCAGGUUGAAAUUCAUGAUGGCUGUGAAACCUUAAUGUUUUUGCUGCUCUUUGUUUUAUUUAAUUUUGCAUAUUUGUGAAGGAAAAAAAAAAUCAGACGUUGCUCCACAUUUUCAGUGACUUGUGUGCAGCUGUAGGAUGGAUAUUUAUGACUGUCUUUGUUGCAAGAUCUUAAGUGCCAGGGAGAUUUAUUAGAAGCCCAUUUAUAAUAAUAAUAAUAACAACAAUAAUAAUAAACCAAAGGUCUUUGCACUGUAGAUAUGAACAUUUGGACAUGUUUAUGAUGAUGAGAUAAACGUGAUUGAUAUCAUUAUCAAGAGUAAAUGUUUUAUGUUUCUGGUGAACGAAACAUGAGUAAACCUGACUUCUAUAA